GAGGGAAUAGCUCAGUGGUAGAGCAUGUGCUUAGCACGUAUGAUGUCCUGGGUUCAAUCCCCAGUACCUCCA
rfam:Camelus ferus unplaced genomic scaffold scaffold801, whole genome shotgun sequence.